rnacentral:tRNA from 1 species
UCCCUGGUGGCUCAGUCGGUAAAGCAUCUGCCUGCAAUGCGGGAGACCCAGGUUGGAUCCCUGGGUUGGGAA